rnacentral:snRNA from 1 species
UACACUUCUCAGCCUUUUAGGUAAGAUAAAGUGUAAUAUAUGUUUUUAUCAAUUUAAUAUUUGAUAUAUGGACCAUAUGUUCACAUUGAUAUUAAAUUUAUUUUUUAUAAGUAACAAAU